CUUUGGCAUUCUACAGACCAGACAAGAGGGUGGAUGGCCAGUGGAACCAAAAGUAGCUAUAGUUGUUUUCAGUGAAAACAGGUUUGGUUACUUAGCAACCCAGCCAGGAGUACCAGGGCCAGAUGGCCUUUUGUGACAUCAUGCAAGCAGGAAGCAGAGACCAAGAGAGCUGGCACAGGAGCUGAGUGAUACCCAGCUCCCUCCGUGCUUCCCCUCAUUCUUCCACAAGACUCUGCGAUCUCCAGCUAAUGUUUCUCCAACUAAUGUUUGGCUGUUGGUCUUUGCAUCUGUUUCUAUCAGCUGCUGGAUGAAGUCUUUUAGAAGACAGUUAUCUCGACUCCUGUCUACAAGCAUUGCAGAGUAUCAUUAAUAGUGUCAGAAGUUGGCUCUUCCCAUGGGGGUGGAUCUCAAGUUGGGUGUAAGACAUUUCACAAAUUCCAUGGACUGCUGAAGACCAAGGAAGGAGACAAGGCUGGAUAUAUGGUGUACAUGACACUCAAAGCAAGACUGUGAAUAGAAAACCUGGCCCUCAAUAUGAAACUCACAAGAAUACACAUCAAUCUUACAUAGUUGUGGGGAGCUGUUGGAAUCUCCUGAUCUCAGACAAGUCAAUAGGAGUUUAGCAAGGCUGUCUUCUGAGAAGCUCCGCCCAGAAACUGAUUCAGAUGGAUGCAGAGAUCCACAGCCAAAUAAUGGAUGGAGCUUUGGGAACUCUUAUGGAGUAGGAGGAAGGACUGAAGCCCAGGAGGGUAUAGGAAAUCCACAGGAAUUGCAACAGAGUUAACUAAUAUGUACCAUUGGGAACACUGGGACUCUCGGAUACUGAUUCACCAACCAAAUGUCUGUCAGGAAUGACUGUGUCCAGAUAGCAGAGUGAUGAAGUGAUCUUGUUGUCACAGCACUUUUGCUUCUAAGCCUGGAAGCAGUCUGGAACUCAGCGAUGAAGAUUGUGAAUAAAGAAAAUUCAUAUUUUUUAAAUGAAUGAACAAAAACCUAAAGUGAUUUUAGGGUGACAGAUUUCCAACCAUAUGCACUUCACCUUCCAACUCCUCUGUGACCUCCUGGUUGUCACAGAAUCUUCUGAUCCAGUAGGGUGCCUACACGGAUGUUCUGGAGACCUACACGAUGUCUGGGUUGCUGCCAAUGACUCUGAGGUAAUGGGAACCAGUUUGGUCUCUGUUAGAUCAGAAGACUUUGGAUGGAGUUUUGUGUGGAGUAUUGUGAGAAGAAGGUGAGGCAGUGGAGUUGUUGGGGGAAUUCUGUGCUGCUCUGAGGUAGUGUUGGCAGUCUGGCAAUGGGGAAAAUUUUAAAAGGGCUACUUUUGUUUGCUCUCUUGAUAUGAAUUACCUACCACUUGUUUACACAAAAGCACACUGUAGACACUAUCUUCUGCCCUCACUGUUUGUAACCAGAAGGGAGAUGAAGUUUUACUGGAGACAUUUGAUCCCCAUGAAGACAUGCUCCUUAAAUGAAAUUGGUGCUUAAAAUUUUGUAAAACCAUACAAAUUAAGAUGUGUCUAGUCUUUCCUCAUUGAGUUUUACCAUGUAAUGAAUAAAUAGCCUUUUGUUAAUGAACAUGUAUAGAAGAUACAAUGACCUCUACAGUGUUGUUAGGAUUCUUUAAUUCAUUUUUAAUUUAUUUUAAUUCACUUAAAUUCAUUUAGGUAUCAAAAUCCCUAAGGGGAAACUCCUAAGAUUUUUGAAGAGUUUAAAAGAAAACUCUAUCUCUGUAUAUGUGCUCCAGUACUAACAAUAAUAUCCCCUCAGGUUGCAAGGGUGCUGGGGAUUUAGUUAGACCCUUCGUUAUUUGGCCAUAGCAUGAAGAAUUAAAAGAAAUCAACUUUAUUAAACAGACACAACUAGCUUCAGCCCCCACUAGGUAAUUUUCGACUUCCUUCUUUGCUGUUUCUCACUCAGGCUUACAAAGAUGGGAAUUGUAAAAAUGCUGAAGGUAUUAUUGCUCUAUUCAUGAAUUCAUACUAGAAACACAUAGAUAAAAUAUAGCAAAUAGAAAUAAUUCAAAUGAAAGGAAGGAUGCUUCCAAGUGCUUCAUUGCACAUGAGGACAUACGGGAAAAUUUACUGAACAGGGGUGCAGGAGGAAUUCCAGGUAUUUGAUCGUUUCUUAGGGAGUCUGGAGACUGUCCUUCGGUUUUUAUGUCAGCCAUCAUAAUGACAACAGAGGCUCAGAUCCAGCUGAAGAGUCCAGAUGGAGUGUAAUGAAGGAUGAGCAUCCUCACCGCCCUUUGCUCUUCACUAAGCCUAUGUCUAUCAAAGCAUUCCUGAAGGAAGAGAUGUGUGGAUUUGAUAAAUAUUUUCCCUGUCCUCAGCAACAAUAGCUGAAAAUGUUUAAUUAGCUAAAAAAAAAAUUGUUACAUCAUGAAGACUCUCAAAAUGAAGACUUUGCUGCUUCUGAUCACUGGUUAUUAUCCGAACAACAAAUUCACUACAAAAUCCACUGAACAUCCAAUGGCCACCUUAUCUCCAAAUACCGUAAUUAUGGACAUCCAUGCUAUGGGACCAUAGCACAGGAAAAGAGCACUGACAAAGUCCACAAAGCAUAAUACCCUCCUUUGAACAUGAGACUACAUGCAUGGUAUCUUCUCACUGCUAAAUCGAUAUCAGCCAAAUAGUACAGAACCCACAGACCUUAACAACUAUAACAAGCAGAAAAGCCCAAGGACAAAUAUGGAGAAGGAAACUGAAGGAAAGGCAGUCCAAUGAUUGGCCCAACUUGUGAUCCAUCUGAUGGCAGGUCAUCAAGGUCUGACACUGUUACUGAUGUUACGAUGUGCAUCAGCCUGACAUGGCUGUUCUCUGAGUGCCCCUAACAGGAUCUGACUGAGACAGAUGCAGAUACUUAUACCCAACCAUUGAACUGAAGUCAGGGAUCCCUAUGGUUGAAUAAGGGGAAUGUGACUCCAUAGGAAGACCAGUAGUCUCAACUAUCCUGGAUCCCAGAGACUGAACCACCAACCAUGGGCAUACACUGUCUGGCCAGGGCCCCUGGCAUGUAUGUUAGGAGAGGUCUGCCUGGUGUGGUCUCAGGGGGCGAAGAUUUGUGUUGGAGAGACCUGAGAAAUACUUUUUCCAUCUACUUUUAUUGAAAAUCUUCCUUGAUGUAAGAGUCUGAAAUUGCAUCCAAUCUCAUAGAGUUUGUAAAGUAUCUAUCUAGGCUUAUUAUUAUUAUUAUUAUUAUUAUUAUUGUUGUUGUUGUUGUUGUUGUUGUUGUUGUUGUUUUAGAAUCUUCUUGUGAAGUUAAGUGUUUCUCUAACAAAUACAUUCUCCCUCCAGAAGUUAUUUGGACAUUUUUCCUUGCAGAUUUUGUUCUGUAUUAAGUGGUUUAGUGUUCUGAUUAUUAUGUGCUGAAAGGACUUUAUUUUCUUGCCCUUUCUGUUUUUCUGUAUGAUUUUUGGACCUUGAUAGGUUCCUCCUUUUUUUUUUUUUGUUGUUGUUCUUUUUUCGGAGCUGGGGACCGAACCCAGGGCCUUGUGCUUCCUAGGCAAGCGCUCUAUCAUUGAGCUAAAUCCCCAACCUGGUUCCUCCUUUUUUUAAGAAAAAUUUUAUUCUAGUAUUUUUCAGAGCUGGACAAAGAAUUCUCAACAGAGGAAUCUCAAAUGUCUGAGAAGCACUGAUACAUAAACCACACAGAGACCCAACAAAGAGAACUUCAGGCCAAUUUUACUUGUGAAUAUUGAUUUAAAAACAUGCUAAAAUUCUUACAAGCUUUAUCCAGGAACAUAUCAAAACCAUCGUUCUCUAUGAUCCAGUAGUCUUCAUCUCAGGGAUGCAGAAGUGUUUCAAUAUACAAAAAUCCAUAAAUAUAAUACACUAUAUGAAGAAACACAAGGAAAGUGGUCACGUGAUCCACAUGAUCAUCUCAUUAAAUGCUGAAAAUGCCUUGACACAAUACAACAUCCCUUCUUGUUAAAAGUCUUGGAGAGAUGACAAAUUCAAGGCACACACCUAAACAUAAUAAAAGCAAUAUACAGCAAGUCCACAGAGAACAUAAAAUUAAUUGGAGAGAAACUAGAAGUAAUCCCAUUAAAAUCAGAGACAAGACAAGGCUGCCUGUUCUCUCCCAAUCUAUUCAAUAUAGGACUUGAAAUUCUAGCUAGAGAAAUUAGACAACAAAAGGCAAUUAAGGGAUACAAAUUGGAAAAAAAUCAACACAUCACUAUUUGUGGAUGAUUUUAUUGUAUUCAUAAGCGACCCCCAAAAUCCCAUCACAGAACUUGUGCUGCUGAUAAACAACUUCAUUAAAGUUACUGGAUAUAAAAUUAACUCAAGCAAAUCAAUAACCUUGCUCUAUACAAAUGAAGAAUAGACUGAGAAAAAAAGUGCGAGAAACAACCCACUUCACAAUAGCAACAAAUAAUAUAUUUGGUAUAAUGGUUAUCAAGCAAAUGAAAUAUAUGUAUGACAAUAACUUCUAAUCCCUGAAGAAAGAAAAUAAAGAAGACCUCAGAAGAUGGAAAGAUCUCCUAUGCUCAUGGAUCAGUAGUAUUAACACAUGAAAAGGUCCAUAUUACCAAAACCAAUCUACAGAUUCUGUGCAAUACCCAUCACAAUUACAAUACAUUUUUUACAGAAAUGGAAAGAACAAUUCUCAAUUUCAUGUAGAAAAGCAAAAAAUAUUUUAGCAGGAUAGCUAAAAUAAUCCUCAACAAUAAAAGAUAUUCAAGAGGAAUCACCAUCCAUGACCUCAAGGUGUAUUACAAUGGAAAGAUAAAGAUUUAAUGGUAGUGGUACACAGACAGACAGAUUGAUCAAUGGAGUGAAAUCAAAGACACAGAAAUAAACCUACACACCUAUGGAUGUUUGAUCUUUGACAGAGAAGCCAAACCACAGAGUGAAAAAAGGAAGCAUCUUCAAUAACUGAUGCUAGUCUAAAUGGCAUUCUGUAUGUAGAAGAAUGAAACCAGUCCAUAUUUGUUACCUUGGACAAACCUUAAGUCCUUAUGGAUCAAGAACCUCAACAUAAAACCAGAUACAGUGAAUCUAAUAGAAUAAAAACUGGGAAAGAGUCUUUAAUUCAUUGGCGCAGGGAAAAAUUUCCUGAACAGAACAUCAAUCUCUCAGAAUCUAAGACCAACAAGUGAUAAAUGGGACUUAAUGAAACUAAAAAGAUUAUGUAAGGCAGUGGAUACCAUCAAUGGGACAAAUCAUCAAUCUACAGUUUGGGAAAAAAUAUACUUACAAUCCCUAAAUCCUAUGGAGGACUAAUAUCCAAGAUACAUAAUAAACUUAAGAAGAUAGACUCCAGAAAACCAAGUGACACAAUUAAGAAAUGGGCUACAGAGCUAAACAGAGAAUUUACAAUAGAGGAACUAUGAAUGGCUGAGAAGCACUUAAAGAAAUGUCCAAAUUCCUUAGUCAUCAGUGAAAUACAAAUUAAAACAAAUCAGAAUGGGUAAGAGCACACACUUAAGGAAAAGAACAUGCUGGUGAAGAUGUGUAGAAAGAAAAACACUACUCCAUUGCUUGUGGAAUUGCAAACUGGUACAACCACUCUGGAAAUCAAUAAUGCCAGUAUCUCAGAAAAUUGGAAUACUUCUACCUGAAGACUCAGCUAUGUCACUCCUGUGAAUAUACCCAAAGAAGCUACACCAAACCACAAUGACACGUGGUCUGCUAUGUUCAUAGCAUCUGUAUUUGUAAGAGCCAGAAGUUGGAAACCACCCAGAUGUCCCUCAAUUGAACAAUCGAUAGAGAAAACGUGGUUCAUUUAUACAAUUGCAUACUAGUCACCUAUUAAAAACAAGGACAUCAAUGAAUUUUAAAAGCAGAUGAAUGACACUAUAAAAUAUCCUGAAUGAAGCAACUGAGUUCCAAAAGGAUAUGCAUGGUAUGUACUCACUGAUAAGUGGAAAUUAGUCAAAUAUUCAGAAUACACAUGAUACAAUUCACAGGUUAUAGUAAGCUUAGCAAGAAGGCAAGGCACAAGUGUGGAUACCUCAAACCUACCAAUAAGGGAGAACAAAAUAAUCACAGGAGGCAGAUGGAUGGAGGAAGGGAGGGGAAGAGGGUAGGGCAGGGUCAGGUAUGGGAGGAAACAGGAGAGAAGCCCAGAGGGCCACGAGAAUGAAUCAAUAUAUACAGCAGUGUGGAGUGCAGGUAGGGAAACCAUAGAAAGUCCCAGAGACCUGAGAGUUGAGAAGCUCCCAGGAUUCAAUGGGCAUGGCAUUAGCCAAAAUGCCCAAAGAUGGGGAAAUAGAACUUGAAGAGUUCUCUAGGAGAGAGGCAUGACCCCUAGUUGAGGCAUGGGGCUUCCCACCCACAUUUGAAUUUUUGGACCCAGAAUUGUUUCUGUCUAAAGGAAAUGGAGGGACAAAAAUGAAUAUGAGAAUGAACAAAAGACCAUCCAGUAACUGGCCUAACAUGGGCUACAUCUCAUGUGCUCAUAUCAACCCUCGACACUAUUACUCAUGUCAUAGUGUGCUUGCAGGUAGAAACCUGACAUGGUUGUCCUUUGAGAAGCUCUACCAGCAGCUGACUGAGACGAAUUCACAUACAUAUUUUCAACCAUUGCAUUGAGGUUGGGAACCCUAUGGAAAUGUUACGGAAAGAACUGAAGGAUCCUAGAACACCAUAAGAAAAACUACAGUGUCAACUAACCCAGACACCUAAGAGCUCUCAGAGAGUAAGCCACCAACCAAGGAGCAUGCUGGACUGGUCCGUAGCCCUAGGAACAUAUACAGGAGAGUCUUGUCUGGACUCGGUGGGAGAGGAUGUGCUUAAAAAACUGGAAACUUGAUAUUCUAGGGAAGAGGGAUGCUGGUAGGCAUGUGGUGGGUGUGGUAUGCAGGUGGGGGAGCACCCCCCAGAAGCAGGAUGAGGAAGGAUGAGGUCUUUGGGAAGGUAGUAUCAGGAAGGGGGCAACUUAUGGAAUAUGAAUAAAGUAAUUAAAAUAAAUAAUAAAAAUAAUAUUUAAUGCUUUAAUAAAAAUAGUAUUUUAUGUGCUUUUGAGUUAGGUUUCCUUAUCUUCCUCUGGUUAUUACUCGUAGGUUUGAACUUUUCAUAGUUUUCCACAUAUCCUGAAUACUUUUAGUCAAAAGAUCUUAGAUUUGAUUUUUUUAGUCUUGCCCUCAACGUGUGAGGUUCUCUGUUCUAUUUCCUAUAUUCUAUACACAAGUCUUUGCCUGAGGUCAUGAUCAAAGUCUUAAAUUGUUCAUUUUCAGAUUUUUCUUGGUUUAGGUUUUCUUUAUUGUUUAUAUUUCCUAUAUAGUCUUGACUUUCUUUUUUUAUUUCAUUCCAAUGUUUGGGAUUCCAUUGUUCUCAUCAGUGGAUUCAUGCAUGUACUUUUUUUUUGACCUUUAUAAAUAAUGGCAUUAUUUAUUUUUUUUAUCUUUAUUAACUUGAAUAUUUCUCUUUACAUUUUGAUUGUCAUUCCCUUUGCCGGUUUCCGGGUCAACAUUCCCCUCACCCCUCCCCUCCCCUUCUAUAUAGGUGUUCCUCUCCCCAUCCUCCCCACAUUACCGCCCGCCCCCCAACAAUAACGUUCACUGGGGGGGUCAGUCUUGGCAGGACCAAGGGCUUCCCCUUCCACUGGUGCCCUUACUAGGCUAUUCGUUGCUACCUAUGCAGUUGGAGCCCAGAGUCAGUCCAUGUAUAGUCUUUGGGUAGUGGCUUAGUCCCUGGAAGCUCUGGUUGCUUGGCAUUGUUGUUCAUAUGGGGUCUCGAGCCCCUUCAAGCUCUUCCAGUCCUUUCUCUGAUUCCCAUUCUCAGUUCAGUGGUCUGCUGCUGGCAUUCGCCUCUGUAUUUGCUGUAUUCUGGCUGUGCCUCUCAGAAGAGAUCUACAUCCGGUUCCUGUCAGCCUGCACUUCUUUGCUUCAUCCAUCUUAUCUAAUUGGGUCGCUGUAUAUGUAUGAGCCACAUGAGAGGCAGACUCUGAAUGGGUGUUCCUUCUGCCUCUGUUUUAAACUUUGCCUCCUUAUUCCCUGCCAAAGGUAUUCUUGUUCCCCUUUUAAAGAAGGAGUGAAGCAUUCGCAUUUUGAUCAUCCCUCUUGAGUUCCAUGUGUUCUGUGCAUCUAGGGCAAUUCAAGCAUUUUGGCUAAUAGCAACUUAUCAAUGAGUGCAUACCAUGUGUGUUUUUCUGUGAUUGGGUUACCUCACUCAGAACGAUAUUUUCCAGUUCUGUCCAUUUGCCUAUGAAUUUCAUAAAGUCAUUGUUUUUGAUAGCUGAGUAAUAUUCCAUUGUGUAGAUGUACCACAUUUUCUGUAUCCAUUCCUCUGUUGAAGGGCAUCUGGGUUCUUUCCAAUUUCUGGCUAUUAUAAAUAAGGCUGCUAUGAACAUAGUAGAGCAUGUGUCUUUGUUAUAUGUUGGGGCAUCUUUUGGGUAUAUACCCAAGAGAGGUAUAGCUGGAUCCUCAGGCAGUUCAAUGUCCAAUUUUCUGAGGAACCUCCAGACUGAUUUCCAGAAUGGUUAUAUCAUUCUGCAAUCUCACCAACAAUGGAGGAGUGUUCCUCUUUCUCCACAUCCUCGCCAGCAUUUGCUGUCACCUGAGUUUUUGAUCUUAGCCAUUCUCACUAGUGUGAGGUGAAAUCUCAGUGUUGAUUUGAUUUUCAUUUCCCUUAUGACUAAAGAUGUUGAACAUUUCUUUAGGUGUUUCUCAACUAUUCGUCAUGCAUAUACUUUUUAAGGUUUUUAAAAACAGUCAUAGUAGUUAUUUUGAAAUCCUUGUUCUUUAUGCUCUAGCUAUGUUGCAUUUCUCCUGGCCUAGUGCAGUAGGGUUCCUGCAUUCGGGUAGAGAAAUGUCCUGUUUGUUAAUGUUUGUUUUACAUUGGCAUCUAUGAACCUGAUUUUCAGAUUAUUAUUAUUUUAGGUGUUGAUAUACAAUCUUUUCUUUGUAAGUUGAUCUUCCAGUCCUUAGUUUCUGCUGUUUUCUCUAAGUCAUAAGACAAUAUUGGUAUGGGUUAGUUGUUAGGGAGUUCUGAUUUUCUGCCAGUUUUGGCAACUGGAGCUCUUGGGUAGAACACAUGUCUAUGCACUGGGAGAUGGCAAGCAGGAAUCAGCAUGGCAUAAAAGUAGUGGCAGGCAGGACAUGUUGCAAAGGUCCAUAGGAAGGAGGAAAUCUGGGUUUGACAGAAGAAUCUGGAGAUCCCACUAGGAAUGGUGGGUGAAAGGGAAGACAGACCCCUCCAGCUUGACUGCUACAGGACUGGAAAUGAGCCUUCAGAAUUGGAAAUGGGGAAUAUACAGAAAAGAGAGUGAAGAUCACAUCCCUGAUUCCCUGGCCCUCAUGCCUAACCUUUCCAGGAAGAGACUGCCUUGGCUAUUGUCGGAUAAGACAAAAGUAAAAUUUUGGAAAGAAGGAUAUAGAAGAGGACUUUCUCUGUUCUCUGUGAGUGAAGGCAGAGAGAAAUUGAUGUGCUUUUGUUUUUAACCUUUUUUUCUAUUGAUGGUGAACUUACUGAUAUUUACAUACUAACCUUGAAUUACCAACUGUGAACAGAAACAUUAUUUAGUAUUCCAUAUCAUUUAUUAUUUCAAUAGAUAGUAUUUUAAUAAGAUUUUUGUUUAAAUCACAGAAUAUGUUGGCUUAACUUUCUCACAAUAUCUAUGCAUGCUUUUGACAUUGACCAAAUUUUGGCAUCAUACAACUAGUUAAGAAGUAUUUCUUGUGCCUUGAUUUUUCUGGAAAAUAUGCAAAAUUAUGUUUUUUCAUGAAUUUGUUAUAAAUUUACUACCAAUACUUCAUAGACUAGUGUACUUACUUAAGUUUUAUUAAGAACUCACUGAAUUACAAUACCAAUGAAGGACUAGCAAGAACGAAGUUGAAUGUAUAACAGUCCUGAGCUGCCAAAGGUUAGCAGAUGCAAUUAAAGCACCAGUUCAGCAAAUGACAGUCACAACGUAUACCCGGUUGUGAUUAUGCAGUGUAAUGAUAGAAGCAAAAAGCUUUUAGCCAGCAGACUGUUUCUAUGCUUUUAGAUUCUGUUUCUUCUGGUUGUAAAAAUUCCAGUAGAUCAUCCCAGAUAUUAGGUAUUUCUUUCAUUUAAGUAAAAUUUGUAGGCCUGAAGUUGUCAAAAGUGUUCCUUCAUUGAAAUUGUCAACCCAUUAUAAGACUAGGACUAAGUGGCUCCUGGCUUUUAAAUGGUUUUUAUUGCUUUUUGUCUUCUCCUCCGUGUUGUACUGGCAAAUUAUAAUUUAAGUGCAAUAAUAAUUGUAUUGAUUUUUAAAAUAAAUACCAGUUGGAUAAUGCAGAUUGGUACAGUUGUUCAGAUCACAUAGCCUUUUAAUAAUUUUUAAUUGACAUAAUUAUUAGCAGUAGGAAAAUAUCCAGUUUCCAAAUAAAAUAUUAUUAUUCUAUCUACUUGGCCACCCCAGUCAUUUUUAUUCUUAUAUUUUUUAAAUCAUCUCAGUUUAUAAAUGUUUGGAAUUCUGAGCUCUUUUGGAAUUACUUACCUCUUUAUAGGUUGAUGUCUCCCUGAUCAGUAACAAUCUUUCAUAACCAGAUCUCUGAGUUAAAUCACUGUAUAGCUAAGCCUGUUAUCUUCUCUGAUGAAAAGGCGGCUUAUGUUUUCCCAUCAAUUUUUAGCUCAUUUAAGACUAUACAUAUUAUGUAAGCUUAUUGCAGAAAUUACAUAAUUAGAUGUAGCUUUCAAACUGGAUAACUUUUAUACUUAUACCUUUGAAGAUUGACAAUUCAUUUUAUAAUGAAUAUUUAUAUAAUAUAAAUACUAUCUACUUCUCCCUUUUUAUUCUGCUUUUUCUUCUAACUUCCGAGAGUUUGUGAUUUCUCAUUUAUCUUCUCUUAAUAUCCAUUGUCCUUUGAAAUCUGUUGGUAUACCAUAAUAUUUAAAAUAAAAUAUAUCUAAGUUACAGAAUACUCAUGAUACAACACAUAGACCAUAUGAAGCUUAAUAAGAAGGGAGGUUCAAGUGUAGUUACUUCAGUUCCACUUAAAAGGGGGAAAAUAAUCAAUGGAGGUAGAGGGAAAA